UACGUAGGGUGCAAGCGUUAAUCGGAUUUACUGGGCGUAAAGCGCGUGUAGGCGGUUCGGUAAGUUGGAUGCGAAAGCUCCUGGCUUAACUGGGAGAGGUCGUUCAAAACUACCGGACUUGAGAGUGGUAGAGGGAGUUGGAAUUCCGGGUGUAGUGGUAAAAUGCGUAGAUAUCCGGAAGAACACCAGUGGCGAAAGCGGACUCCUGGACCAUUUCUGACGCUCAGACGCGAAAGCUAGGGUAGCGAACGGGAUUAGAAACCCCGGUAGU
rnacentral:rRNA from 1 species